AAGUCGUAACCCUGCGGAAGGAUCAUUAACACGUAUCCAACGUUAAACCCCCCUGUGAAUUUUAUCGCAGCUCUUGCAGAUGCCGGUAAUUUGCAAUCCCUGGUAAAUCAUUGUUGAACAGAUUUUGAUUCAUGGACCUCUAACACCGACAGCUGCCAAAGUGUCGCUGGUUGUGUAAGGAAAACGCUUUACGAUCACUGGAGGCCGACACGGCCGGUGACCGGGCUGCUGUGGCUAUAUGCCCCUAUUACCCCACUACCUGAACUUGGGUCGCCGGAAACUGCUUCCCCUUAAAUCUGAACAACUGUUAACAAUGGAUAUCUUGGUUCUC
rnacentral:misc_RNA from 1 species